UCAUAAUUAUUUGACUUUAGAAAUUUCAUCACAUAACUAGAACAAUGUUUAAAAUUGUUUUAUGUUUAGUUUUGGCGACAGUAUUCGUGAAUGCAAAGCCUUUUUUACUUAGUGACUUGCUUAGUGGUAGAAUAAGUGGCACACUGAAUAAUUACUUAGACAUAAACUUUGAUUAUGGAAGAUUGUUGCAUGGAGAGGGACUUGAUAUUGAAUUGGUUACUCCAUCGAACUCAAGAAUUGACACUCAUAUUUCAAGCAAAACUAUUGAAAAUGUUUUCGAGUUUUUAUCGAACGUAUUCAUUAAUAAAUAAAAAUGUAAUAAUCAAUGUCGAAAUAAAAUAUUAAAACAGA